rnacentral:rRNA from 1 species
UACGGAGGGUGCGAGCGUUGUCCGGAAUCAUUGGGCGUAAAGGGCGCGUAGGUGGCGGGACAAGCGUGCGGUGAAAGCCUGGGGCUCAACCCCCGGGUCGGCCGUGCGAACUGUUUUUGCUUUGAGCACUGUAGAGGCAGGCGGAAUUCCGGGGUGUAGCAGUGGAAUGCGUAGAGAUCCGGAAGAACACCGUGGCGAAGGCGGCCGCUGGGCAGUAGCUGGACACU